UGUACAUGUGCGAUUGGUAUGACCUCCUAUGGCCGUCGUCCGCCGAUUUUCCGGUAAUUUCGCAUUUCAAAAACCGUUCAGCGUCUCCAUAAUAUUAAUAUUAUGUUACAUUAGAAACGCAGUGGGCAUCGUAAACGCGUAUCGUCAUUAUUUCAAUUUAACAUAAAAAAUACAGAUGCACGUAAAAAAAUAAAUAAAUUACUCGUGCGCUACCACAGCGGACGUUGGGUUAUAUAAUAAUAUAUAAGUGGUAGAUUCGCAGUGUAAUUAUUGGCAGAUCUUUUCCCAGCGCCGCACAGCAGUCUGUUCGUAAGCGAUUUAAAGCCUGUUUAACCAGCCGAGGGUACAAUGACUAACAACACUGAGAUCGCUUCGCAUCGCUGAAAGGAUCCGUCAUCGAUCUCACUGCGAUAAUGGAAUCGGGUUCGCGGGUGCCCCCGUGACUAAAUUUUUGAACCGAACCCGCGGUGCAAUCGCGUGUCGCUCCGCCGUUGGUCUCGCGUUAAAAAGCCGUUACUAACCUAACCUAACCCACGACCGUGGAACAUUUCAAAGAAGAUUUCUUUAAAUUCUGGAUUUCUUUCCGUAUGGCAGGACAGUAAUACUGCGGGCGAGCAGGACACUGACAAUUAAUAAUAUUAUGACCAUUUUCGUGCUAAAUCCGGUUUUCUCGGCACCGCGCUCGAUGGACGCCGCCGAUUGUAAACGGUCGGGGCCUCGAAAUCGACACCGCCGCCGCCGCAAACAACACGACUGUACGACGAGCACUGAAAUUAUCAUCAACAGAUUCCGAAACGAACCCACUAACUUUAUCAGUACCCAAGCACAAUGUGAUUGGAAAAAAUACAGCCUCUCUGCGACGCAUGCACCACUCUGUCGCGGUUGUACGAUCGCUGAAAGUUGUAUAAAUACCAAGGAACCUGCAGAGUGAGCUCAAUAUCCUACUAUCUGUGAAUAUCUUACGUCAAGUUCUGAAAUCACCGUCAUGUUCAUAAAAAUUCUCCAUUUUUCGGAAUAUUGAAUUAAAAUAUUUAUGCUAUCAUUUAGAUUCUACAGUUCUACGCUUGUAUAACUGACGCUCUUUAUUUUAUACUCUUAACUUUAAGCUACCAUUGAUGGUAUUAAUUUAGCUUAUUAAUAACUAUAA